AACGCGAAGAACCUUACCAGCGUUUGACAUGGGACGUAUGGUCGCCAGAGAUGGCUUCCUUCACUUCGGGUGGCGUCCACACAGGUGCUGCAUGGCUGUCGUCAGCUCGUGUCGUGAGAUGUUGGGUUAAGUCCCGCAACGAGCGCAACCCUCACCUUCAGUUGCCAUCAUUUAGUUGGGCACUCUGAAGGAACUGCCGGUGACAAGCCGGAGGAAGGUGGGGAUGACGUCAAGUCCUCAUGGCCCUUACGCGCUGGGCUACACACGUGCUACAAUGGUGGUGACAAUGGGUCGCAAGCGUGCGAACGCAAGCUAAUCUCCAAAAAGCCAUCUCAGUUCGGAUUGCACUCUGCAACUCGAGUGCAUGAAGUCGGAAUCGCUAGUAAUCGUGGAUCAGCAUGCCACGGUGAAUACGUUCCCGGGCCUUGUACACACCGUAGAGAC
rnacentral:rRNA from 1 species